AUAAAUGUCUUUUCCAUGUCCACAACUCAUAAGUGGGUUUUAUUCCUGGAAUUUUUGCUGCAUAUUUAUGUGAUUUUCUCUACCAUACUUGGAAACAGAAAAACUUCACAAAAAGAAGCUGAACAUUGGUAUUAAACGUCAGGAUGAAAACCACAAAUCAUUCACCUUGCCAGAGAGAAGUUUGACUUAUUGCUGUGGUCAACAUGGCUUAUGGACACCAAGGACAAUUUACACUUCCGGUCCCCCAGCUUUCCACAUUGUGGAUGUAAUGAAGGCAGCCAUCUUCAAAACAAGUCAGUUGCUACCAGGCAACAGAGUUGCACCAACUUCAUCUAGGGUUUCUCAGCCUUCAGAGCUAUAAGAAAUAAAUGUUGUCGCUAAGAAACAGAGGAUCCAAGGUUCCUAGGAUUUGAAAAAUGAAGCAGAAGUGCCAUUUGUUGUGCACUGUUGUGUUUUGCUGAGAAAAUAAGUUACAUAUUGCAUGUCUCAAAAUUAUCAUGUAAUAAUUGGACAUUGACAAGUGGGGAAGAUAAACUCAAUGACAUUUUCUAAUUGUGAAUAAAUAAUUUUCUGGACAGAAUAAAAGAGAAAGAGC
rnacentral:lncRNA from 1 species